AACCUUAACUUUGUGUAUUCGUUUAUCCCUCUUGUAUAGACAACUGAAUACGGGACAGAACGAUCCAACAUUCUGACAUAUUUCAAUUUCCCGAUAUCUGAGCCUGAAAAACGAAACGCAGACACAAGUUCAUCAAGAACUGGGCUUUCCCAGCGAGCCAGAUAUUAUAUGGGUGGUAAAGAUCCGGGGUUUGUUCCACCACAGUUUCCACAGAUACAUCUGAUUAACAUGGAACUCAUGCACCCAACAUCAAAUGAUCUUCUCUACUAGUGGCGGCAAAAGUUUUACAUCUGGACAUAAAAUCCUUAUUGCUGGACAUAUCCACGACUGUGAUACAUAUUUAUGGACUGAAUGGGACAGUAUAAAGCUGGAGUUUCAUAGAAACUUCGGAGUUAUCAUUUUGUCAGAGACAACCUGUCUUUUUAUUUUAACUGUUUUCUUUAGUUUGUUACACGGUAAACCUUUUCAACCUGUCUUUUCCAUUUUAACUGUUUGUCUUUAGUUUGUUAAAGUAGGUGUAGAUAUACUUACGUUUCUUCUGGAAAUCUGUCAACUAAUUUAAAUUAAUUGAAACUAAAAUUUCAUUUCUUUAUGUACCCACUGAUAAAUACGUUAAAACGAAUAGCAUUUAAUUUGCUAUGAAUAUUUUGAUAAUAUGUAUUUCAUGAAAAAACAAUUCAUAAGUGACAAGAAUUUGAAGUUAUUGUUCGGGUAUAAAAUAAUACAAAAAUAUUUAUUUUCUUAUACUCUAAUCUGUAGGAAAUUUCACUUCGGCAAUCGUUUCCUUAUCUAGCAUAUAAUCUGUUACAAACCUAGUUCAUUUAUGUCUCUUUAUAAAACGUUCUAUAUUUAAACACUGUUUAGGAAAAUUCAAUAAACUUGUAUAAUCACAGUC